AAUUGUCGUUGGCCGCCGCUUGUCACUGGAACAGAAGAAAAUAAAUUAUUUACUUCCAUUUACUUUUAGAUAAUUUUCGAAAUAUUACAUUUUUAAAUUUUAUAAAUAAUUAAAAAUUACCAAUAGAAAUCUCCUUCACGAUCACCUCCUUCUCCUAUAUAAUUUUUUUAUUUCUCCACAAUAUCACCAUCAAAUUUAAUGUUUCAUUUCUCCAGCUUGUAAUCAACACGUCAACUAUACAUCUAAUUUACAUAAUGUAAAUAAAUUUUUAACUCCGUUUUCUGAUAGCUUACUUUGCUCAUUUGUAUCUUUAAUUUUAUCUAAAAUAUAAUAUUAUUUUAUUUAUUUCCUUUUCACUAGUGUCUCAAGCAUUGUCAUAAAAACGAAUAAUCAGAAUCCAACCCUAAAAACAAAUAAAUGCUAUUGAUUUAUAUUUAUCAUAAAAAUGUAUAAUACUGCAUUCAAGUCUUCCUACAGGAAUGAAAGAAAAUACUAUAUUUCCUAAUUGUGUUCGUACAUCUUUUAUCAUCUUUCAUAAUUAAAAGAAAACAAUUUUACUAUAUUAAGUAUACAGAUGAUAUUUUUUACACCAUUAAAAACUAUAUUUUCCAAUAGGGCCCAGAUUUGAUCAUGCAACACAGCCUCGACGGCCCAACGACGACGACACAGUACAGGCAGCACCCAAAAGCACACAAAUGAAGUAGAUCUUGAUGGAUUCGAACCACCACCCUCUCAAGCCAUUUGAUACACAAACGACUGAGCGCUCUGCCAUUUUGAGCUUAAAGAUCCAUAUGCAGCACUCCAACAGAAUGUGGCUUCCAAACGACAAAAUGAAUAAAACACAAACUCACCCGGCUCUCGAAAUCUAGCAAAAAUAAAAAGAUAAGGCUUCACUUGCAACAUAACCAACGAUUCGAGCCUUAACCCCAAGGCAGAAACAAGAUUCGGGUUUGGAUAGAAAAGCCAUCGGCACGUAGAUGGGGGGUUUAAGAAGCACGAGUACCCGAUUCACAAAUGCGAAGUAAAUGGACACGUCACUGCAAAACUUCAACAGACUACAAAUCGCCUAAUGAUUUAUCAAUUUAACCACAAAUCACCUAAUGAUUUAUCAAUUUUUUAUCUCGUUUAAACCUCUAACUCUACCACACAGGCCGGGGUUACAAUGGACAACUCACAUAAUUGUUACGUUUAAAAAAGAGAGAAUAUAAGACAUCAACAAAAACGAGUACAACGUCACAACUUAAAAUGCAAUAAAAAUAUUUAACAUAAAUUCUGACAGAAGACGAUAAAAUUAAAAGAAUAUAAUUUCUGUUAAUUCCAC
rnacentral:lncRNA from 1 species